CCUACGGGAGGCUGCAGUGGGGAAUUUUUCGCAAUGGGGGCAACCCUGACGAAGCAAUGCCGCGUGGAUGAUGAAGUAUCUCGGUACGUAAAAUCCUUUCGACGGGGACGCGGUACCCGUAGAAGAAGCCCCGGCUAACUCCGUGCCAGCAGCCGCGGUAAUACGGGGGGGGCAAGCGUUGUUCGGAAUUACUGGGCGUAAAGGGUGCGUAGGCGGCUUUCUAAGUUGGAUGUGAAAACUCUGGGCUCAACCCAGAGCCUGCAUCCAAAACUGGAGAGCUAGGGUUCUGGAGGGGAAAGCGGAAUUCCUGGUGUAGCGGUGAAAUGCGUAGAUAUCAGGAGGAACACCGGUGGCGAAGGCGGCUUUCUGGACAGAACCGACGCUGAGGCACGAAAGCUAGGGGAGCAAACAGGAUUAGAUACCCUUGUAGUC
rnacentral:rRNA from 1 species